rnacentral:rRNA from 1 species
AGUGGAUGGGGAGCAACCUAGUUGUGCGUGUGUAAAGGUAGUGCCAAGAAAAGCGGUGAUCAUGAUGAAAAUCAAUUCCCGGUACCCGAAACCGACACAGGUGGGCAAGUAGAGAAUACUAAGGGGCGCGAGGUAACUCUCUCCAAGGAACUCGGCAAAAUGACCCCGUAACUUAGGGAGAAGGGGUGCCACCGGGAGGUGGUCGCAGUGAAGAGGCCCAGGCGACUGUUUAGCAAAAACAUAGGUCUCUGCAAACUCGAAAGAGGAGGUAUAGGGGCUGACGCCUGCCCAGUGCCGGAAGGUUAAAGAAGCUGGUCAGUCUUAGGAUGAAGCUAGCGACUGAAGCCCCGGUGAACGGCGGCCGUAACUAUAACGGUCCUAAGGUAGCGAAAUUCCUUGUCGGGUAAGUUCCGACCCGCACGAAAGGCGCAACGAUCUGGGCGCUGUCUCGGAGAGAGGCUCGGCGAAAUAAGAUUGUCUGUGAAGAUACGGACUACCUGCAUUUGGACAGAAAGACCCUAUGAAGCUUUACUAUAGCUUGGAAUUGUGUUCGGGCUUCCUGUGCGCAGGAUAGGUGGGAGGCGUAGAAGGUAUUCUUGUGGGGAUACUGGAGCCAACGGUGAGAUACCACUCUCAGGAGGCUAGAAUUCUAACUUAAUUAAGGACAGUUUCAGGUGGGUAGUUUGACUGGGGCGGUCGCCUCCAAAAAGGUAACGGAGGCGUACAAAGGUUCCCUCAGACUGGUUGGAAAUCAGUCGAAGAGUGCAAAGGCAGAAGGGAGCUUGACUGCGAGAAGUACAGUUCGAGCAGGGUGGAAACACGGUCUUAGUGAUCCGACGGUGCUGUGUGGAAGGGCCGUCGUUCAACGGAUAAAAGUUACUCUAGGAUAACAGGCUGAUCUCCCCCAAGAGUUCACAUCGACGGGGAGGUUUGGCACCUCGAUGUCGGCUCACCGCAACCUGGGGCGGAAGUACGUCCCAAGGGUUGGGCUGUUCGCCCAUUAAAGCGGUACGUGAGCUGGGUUCAGAACGUCGUGAGACAGUUCGGUCCAUAUCCGAUGUAGGCGUGAGAAUAUUGAGAGGAGCCUUCCUUAGUACGAGAGGACCGGGAAGGACGCACCGCUGGUGUACCUGUUAUGAUGCCAAUUGUAAACGCAGGGUAGCCAAGUGCGGAGAGGAUAACCGCUGAAAGCAUCUAAGUGGGAAGCCCACCUCAAGAUGAGUAUUCUGGUGUAAGGUCACGGGAAGACGACCCGUAAAUAGGCACGAGGUGGAAGUGCAGAGAUGUAUGAAGCCGAAGUGUACUAAUAGACCGUCGGCUUGACCAG